UUCUAUUAGAAAUUAUUAAUAGUAAAAUCUGCUCCAUGUCUAAUAAAUAGCCGCAAUUUGUGCUAAGGUAGCAUAAUCAUUUGUCUUUUAAAUGGAGACUAGAACAAAAGAUUUAACAUUUUCAGUUUAUUUUCCUAACUUAUCCAAUCAAAUUUAUCCUAAAUGUAAAAAGACACUUAUUUAAAAGAAAGACGAUAAGACCCUAUUGAACUUAACUGUAGUUAAACUGGGGCAGUAAAUUAAUUAUUAUUUUAAUAUAAAUUAUUAUAUAAAUAUCUAAUAAUAUUAAAUAAUUAAGUUACCAUAGGGAUAACAGCGUAAUAAUUUUCUAAAGAUCUUAUUUAAAAUAAAGAUUACGACCUCGAUGUUGAAUUAAUAACCUAAUUAAGGCAAAACUUAAAAAAGGAAGUCUGUUCGACUUUUAAAAAAUUACAUGAUUUGAGUUCAGACCGGUGUAAGCCAGGUCGGCUUCUAUCUUCUAAAAAAUUUUUUACAGUACGAAAGGACCUAAAAAUCUAAUA
rnacentral:rRNA from 1 species